GGUAGCCGGACUGAGAGGUUGAACGGCCACAUUGGGACUGAGACACGGCCCAGACUCCUACGGGAGGCAGCAGUGGGGAAUAUUGCACAAUGGGGGAAACCCUGAUGCAGCGACGCCGCGUGGAGGAAGAAGGUCUUCGGAUUGUAAACUCCUGUUGUUGGGGAAGAUAAUGACGGUACCCAACAAGGAAGUGACGGCUAACUACGUGCCAGCAGCCGCGGUAAAACGUAGGUCACAAGCGUUGUCCGGAAUUACUGGGUGUAAAGGGAGCGCAGGCGGGAAGACAAGUUGGAAGUGAAAUCUAUGGGCUCAACCCAUAAACUGCUUUCAAAACUGUUUUUCUUGAGUAGUGCAGAGGUAGGCGGAAUUCCCGGUGUAGCGGUGGAAUGCGUAGAUAUCGGGAGGAACACCAGUGGCGAAGGCGGCCUACUGGGCACCAACUGACGCUGAGGCUCGAAAGUGUGGGUAGCAAACAGGAUUAGAUACCCUGGUAGUCCACACCGUAAACGAUGAUUACUAGGUGUUGGAGGAUUGACCCCUUCAGUGCCGCAGUUAACACAAUAAGUAAUCCACCUGGGGAGUACGACCGCAAGGUUGAAACUCAAAGGAAUUGACGGGGGCCCGCACAAGCAGUGGAGUAUGUGGUUUAAUUCGACGCAACGCGAAGAACCUUACCAAGUCUUGACAUCCCUUGACAGGCAUAGAAAUAUGUUUUCUCUUCGGAGCAAGGAGACAGGUGGUGCAUGGUUGUCGUCAGCUCGUGUCGUGAGAUGUUGGGUUAAGUCCCGCAACGAGCGCAACCCUUAUGGUCAGUUACUACGCAAGAGGACUCUGGCCAGACUGCCGUUGACAAAACGGAGGAAGGUGGGGAUGACGUCAAAUCAUCAUGCCCUUUAUGACUUGGGCUACACACGUACUACAAUGGCGUUAAACAAAGAGAAGCAAGACCGCGAGGUGGAGCAAAACUCAGAAACAACGUCCCAGUUCGGACUGCAGGCUGCAACUCGCCUGCACGAAGUCGGAAUUGCUAGUAAUCGUGGAUCAGCAUGCCACGGUGAAUACGUUCCCGGGCCUUGUACACACCGCCCGUCACACCAUGAGAGCCGGGGGGACCCGAAGUCGGUAGUCUAACCGCAAGGAGGACGCCGCCGAAGGUAAAACUGGUGAUUGGGGUGAAGUCGUAACAAGGUAGCCGUAGGAGAACCUGCGGCUG
rnacentral:rRNA from 1 species